GUGGUGAUGCUCAUCUCUGUAUCAGGGGCUGACCACGUGGGACAAACCUGCUAUAAAACAUAUUCUAACAGUGGUGUAAUAAACACGUCUACACCUAAAUGGGCAAAAAACAUCAUCAGCUGCAUUGAACAAAACAGACAUGGCUGCCUACAUGGAUAUGUGGUUAAAACACGUGUAGGAAGAACAUUUCUCCUCAGACCAAACACCGAGUGGCUUAAAAGGAAAAUAAAUGAGGUGAGAAACAAAAUAUUUAUAAAAAUGUGGAAACAAAGUUUAGAAAAACCAACAGUGACAUUCUAGCAAAAGUGUGACGAUUAUACUAUAGGUAAUAAAAAGACACUGUGUAUAUCUGUCUAAUGGUGCUUUAUGUCACCUUCUCUCUUUCACCACCACAGGGAACUCUGCUGUGUCCUCCAAUGAUUUCUAAAUGAUGAUGAUGGAAACGAUGAAGUAAAGUUGACGUAAAGCAGCAACUGGAACCAUUUCUGCUGUUUUAUUUGUUCAAACUUUUACAGAAAUAUUUGUUAAGAAAUGUUGAUUAUUUUUGUAAAUUGUUCAUAUGACUUGAGUCUUAUAUAUUAUAUUUAUUAAAAAUGUCAUUAAAUAUGAAUGUUUGACCGUUUUUAUUCUGUCUUCAAUCUGAGAAGAAAGAUAAACAAUAAAAGCCUUUAAAAUCAGAUUUAUAAUGGUGUGUGUCAUUAUUUAGUAUUUGCUGUAACAACAUAUUCUCAUGAUGAUGUCACAUUCACAGGACACCGGGAGGCUGUGUUUAACACAGAUGGCAGAAGUAAAAGUAAAUAUUCA
rnacentral:lncRNA from 1 species